GACGAACGCUGGCGGUGUGCUUAACACAUGCAAGUCGAACGGUAAGGCCCUUUCGGGGGUACACGAGUGGCGAACGGGUGAGUAACACGUGAGUAACCUGCCCUCAUCUCUGGGAUAACAGUCGGAAACGGUUGCUAAUACUGGAUAUGAGCUUGCAAGGCAUCUUGUGGGUUGGAAAGAUUUUUUUGGUUGGGGAUGGACUCGCGGCCUAUCAGCUUGUUGGUGAGGUAGUGGCUCACCAAGGCUUCGACGGGUAGCCGGCCUGAGAGGGCGACCGGCCACAUUGGGACUGAGAUACGGCCCAAACUCCUACGGGAGGCAGCAGUGGGGAAUAUUGCACAAUGGACGGAAGUCUGAUGCAGCAACGCCGCGUGCGGGAUGACGGCCUUCGGGUUGUAAACCGCUUUCAAUUGUGACGAAGCUUUUUGUGACGGUAGCAGUAGAAGAAGCACUGGCUAACUACGUG
rnacentral:rRNA from 1 species